rnacentral:snRNA from 1 species
GGAUGUGAGAGAGGUCUGGCUGUGACAUCUGUCACCCCAUUGAUCACCAGGGUUGAUUUCGCUGAUCUGGCUACUAGGCGGGGUACUUCCUCCUUCACCGCUCCACGUGCGUCCCUUCAGGAGCUGCGUGCUUGGUCAAAGAGAAUGACCUUCCCCGAAUAAAGGGGGACCCGUCUUCGGUCAAGGGUAUACGAGUAGCUAUGCUCCCCUGCUAGAACCUCCAAACAAGCUCUCAAGGCAGUGUGCAUAACAUAAGAAAAUAUAACAUUGAAAAUAAGAAAACUACAAUCAGAAGAGAAAGAAAUGA